rnacentral:rRNA from 1 species
AGCAGCCGCGGUAAUUCCAGCUCCAAUAGCGUAUAUUAAAGUUGCUGCAGUUAAAAAGCUCGUAGUUGAAUUUCGGGACCAAUAUGUCGGUCGUGCCUCGGUACGUACUGGCAUUAUUGGUUUCUCCCUUCUGAAGAACCUUGAUGUCAUUAAUUUGGUGUCUUGGGGAAUCGGGACUGUUACUUUGAAAAAUUGAGUGUUUAAAGCAGGCUCGCGCUUGAAUACAUUAGCAUGGAAUAAUGAAAUAGGACGUUUGAUUCUAUUUUGUUGGUUUCUAGGAUCGACGUAAUGAUUAAUAGGGAUAGUUGGGGGCAUUAGUAUUCAAUUGUCAGAGGUGAAAUUCUUGGAUUUAUUGAAGACUAACUACUGCGAAAGCAUUUGCCAAGGAUGUUUUCAUUAAUCAAGAACGAAAGUUAGGGGAUCGAAGACGAUCAGAUACCGUCGUAGUCUUAACCAUAAACUAUGCCGACUAGGGAUCGGAUGAUGUUAAUUUUUAAUG